CCACAUCUAAGCCACGCCACAAAUACUUGCCGCUUUGCCCGUGACGGUGAUGGGCAGGCUACCCGUGGCAACCAUGCUCAGAGCUGCCCAAGACAUGCCUUUGUGCUUUUAAAGCUCUCGCUCAAGCGCGCGAACGCUCUCAUCUAUCUCUGCAGUAUUUCUCUUUCCCAAUUUCAAUCCCGUAACGCCACAUAAAAAAAAACAGAUAGAAAACUAAUUAACGAAGAGGAGGUAUGGAAUGAAGUUAAAUUAGUGCUGAAGAUUUUGUGGUAGGAGUGAUAAUUUAGUGUUAUAUCAAUGGCCGAGAUUUACCGUGGAGUAGUGAGUGAGAAUGAGGCAUCGUCAACGUCAUGUGAGCCAAGUUCAAGAAUAGCUAGACGGAGAAGAAUGGAGAUUAGACGGCUCAGAUUCGUGGCAGGAGUGGCCUCAACGGAGACUGAAGCUGAUGACAUGGGCACCCAUAAAAAGCACAAACUGCAAGUUUACAGUAGUACUCGUAAUGGUAGUAAUAUUAGCCCGUGUUCUCGUGACUGUCAGAACGCGGUGGAGAACUGUGGUGCUGAACACCCAGAUGAAAAUAAACCGUUUGAGAAAGGGAAAUCAUCAGAGAACAUAAUUGCGAGGCAAUACUCUUUGAAUCUAACUUCGAGUCCAUCAAUUUUAUCAACAUCUUUAAUCGAUCCAGAUCAGUUGUUUCCAAAAUUCGGGGUGACUUCGGUUUGUGGAAGGAGAAGAGACAUGGAAGAUGCGGUAGCGAUUCACCCUUCAUUCUGUCGGAAAGACCAGGAAACCACAACUGAGUUGCACUUAUUUGGUGUCUACGAUGGCCACGGUUGUUCUCAUGUGGCAGUAAAGUGUAAGGAGAGAUUGCAUGAGCUGGUGAAAGAGGAGUUGGGGGGGAUCAAGGAGGGGUGGAAAAGCGCAAUGGAAAGAAGCUUUCGGCGGAUGGACAAGGAAGUAAUAGCGUGGAAUCAAGGGGUGGAGGUUCGUGCGAAUUGCAAGUGUGAGAUGCAAACUCCAGAAUGUGAUGCUGUUGGGUCUGCCGCUGUUGUUGCAGUUGUAUCUCCUGACAAAAUCGUUGUCGCUAAUUGUGGGGAUUCAAGAGCUGUCUUGUGUCGUAAUGGGAAACCACUGCCUUUGUAUUCCGAUCACAAGCCUGACCGUCCAGACGAGCUUAACCGGAUCGAAAACGCUGGCGGCCGCGUCAUCUAUUGGGACGGCCCAAGGGUUCUUGGAGUUCUGGCCAUGUCAAGAGCCAUAGGUGAUAACUAUCUAAAGCCAUACGUUAGUUGCGAGCCAGAGGUAACAAUAAUGGAUCGAACGGCAGAGGAUGAUUGCUUGAUAAUAGCAAGCGAUGGUCUUUGGGACGUGGUCUCCAACGAGACAGCAUGUGCGGUGGCGCGUGCCUGUUUGAGAGUGAAAGAGCACGCGCCGACUCCAUGUUCUCCUAGACUGGUGGAGAACAAUGAGGCUGUGGGGAUCCCCGCCGGCAGCGGCGGAAGUGGGGAAAUGUCGGACAAAGCGUGCUCUGAGGCAUCAAUGUUACUGACGAAGAUGGCGCUGGCCAGGCAUAGUACCGACAAUGUGAGCGUUGUCGUGGUGAAUUUAAGGAAAGACACGUAGCAAAGCAACCUAUUACACGAAUCUUAUCAUCUCCUCCUCCGAUUCUCCCCUCUUUUUUUCAGAGGGCUGGGUGACAAGGUCCCGAUAAGGUGCUUCGCUAUGUGAGGAGGAAAAUGGGAGUAGAAACACAGCAACUGAUUAAAAAAAAAAAAAUCAGGACACCAGGCUGUAUUUUUUUUUUUUUUUCCCGUUCUAGAUGAAAUCUUUUGCCAUGAGGUUCCAGAUGUUGUCCUCAAUAUUUAUGUGGUUGUACGGAUAUCAUCCCUUUCCUUUCUCCGGUGCAUUUGGAAUGAAUUUCUCGUAGCAUUAUUCUUUCUUGGGGCCAAAGCAGCUGCCGGUGGCCUUGAACUGCUCAAAAUAAACCUUCAACUCGGGGAAAGGAAAUGGACAUACCCUCUGGAGAGGAUGGAUGGUACACAGGAGAUUUACCCAUUAGUGAGCAGUGCUAGAGAUAAAAUUUAGUGGACUUUUUUCUGUUCC